rnacentral:lncRNA from 1 species
GAUUGGCUGGGUCCGGGCCGGGUCCGGUCCGGGCGGGCUUUUUUGACACCCCUAGUAAAGACAGUGUUGACAAAUGCUAAAGUUGAAGUUGAAAAUUUUAAUGGAACCAACAACUUUAGUAUGUGGCAAUGCGAGAUAAUAUCAAAUAAAGGAGAUAAAGGAAAUGACACCAAAAAAAAAAAAAUUACGUGAUUUGGCAAAUUGCCUACAUGCAUGGGAGGGAGAAUUUAAAUUUCCAUUAAUAUGACAGGUGGAAUAGAACUCUCUCAAGCUUACUUCCUAAAUUCUCAAUACACCCUUUCUCUCAAUUCACAAGUAUCAAAGAAAGAAUACUCAAAUUGUUCGAAUUCCUCAAAUAGGAAUUGAACCUCGGAGAUGCUCACUAAAAGCUCUUAACUAAUACUUUUAGGAAGCUCACAAUAGUUUGUCUUCGAUACUCAAACAAAUGGAACCGUAGGCUAUUUAUAGCCAAUUUUUCAAACAAUGACCAUAUCUUAAUCCAAAGUGGUUGUCUAGCAUGACCAUUUCUUUUACCAAAAUGCUCCAUUAAUGAUUAUUUUAUGGCACCUAAUUUGACCACUAUCAAUUGUUGGCUUACUUUCCCUAAUUGCUCCACUAACAAAUGUUGAAUAGCUAAAUGGAAGCCACAUUGCCAACAAUAGUGAAGCUCCUAACGCUAUUUUAAAACUCUAGGAAACCCCACUUAUUAUAUAUAUAUAACU